UACGGGGGGAGCAAGCGUUGUUCGGAUUUACUGGGCGUAAAGGGCGCGUAGGCGGUCAGCACAAGUCAGUUGUGAAAUCUCCGGGCUUAACUCGGAAAGGUCAACUGAUACUGUGCGACUAGAGUGCGGAAGGGGCAACUGGAAUUCUCGGUGUAGCGGUGAAAUUCGUAGAUAUCGGGAGGAACACCGGUGGCGAAGGCGGCGACCUGGGUCGAGACUGACGCUGAGGCGCGAAAGCGUGGGGAGCAAACAGG
rnacentral:rRNA from 1 species